rnacentral:tRNA from 1 species
GGUUGUGGCUCAGUGGUAGAGCACUUGCCUGUCAUGUGUGAGGCCCUGGGUUCAAUCCUCAGCACCA